rnacentral:rRNA from 1 species
UUGGAGGGCAAGUCUGGUGCCAGCAGCCGCGGUAAUUCCAGCUCUAAUAGCGUAUAUUAAAGUUGCUGCAGUUAAAAAGCUCGUAGUUGAAUUUCGGGACCAAUAUGUCGGUCGUGCCUCGGUACGUACUGGCAUCGUUGGUUUCUCCCUUCUGACGAACCAUGAUGUCAUUUAUUUGGUGUCGUGGGGAAUCAGGACUGUUACUUUGAAAAAAUUAGAGUGUUUAAAGCAGGC